GACGAACGCUGGCGGCGUGCUUAACACAUGCAAGUCGAACGGAAAGGCCCCUUCGGGGGUACUCGAGUGGCGAACAGGUGAGUAACACGUGAGUAACCUGCCCUUGACCUCGGGAUAACUUCAGGAAACUGGGGCUAAUACCGGAUAGGAAUCCUUGCUGCAUGGUGGGGGUUGGAAAGCUUCGGCGGUUUUGGAUGGACUCGCGGCUUAUCAGCUUGUUGGUGGGGUAGUGGCUUACCAAGGCUUUGACGGGUAGCCGGCCUGAGAGGGCGACCGGCCACGUUGGGCCUGGGAAACGGCCCAAACUCCUAGGGGAGGCAGCGGUGGGGAAUAUUGCACAAUGGGGGGAAGCCUGGUGCAACAACCCCGGGUGCGGGGAGGCGGCUUUCGGGUUAUAACCCGCUUUCGAAAGGGGGGAAGCUUGUGGGGCCGGUACCGGGAAAAAAAGCCCCGCCUAAUUCGGU
rnacentral:rRNA from 1 species